CCUACGGGAGGCAGCAGUGAGGAAUAUUGGUCAAUGGACGAGAGUCUGAACCAGCCAAGUAGCGUGAAGGAUGACUGCCCUAUGGGUUGUAAACUUCUUUUAUAUGGGAAUAAAACGUUCCACGUGUGGGAUUUUGUAUGUACCAUAUGAAUAAGGAUCGGCUAACUCCGUGCCAGCAGCCGCGGUAAUACGGAGGAUCCGAGCGUUAUCCGGAUUUAUUGGGUUUAAAGGGAGCGUAGGUGGAUUGUUAAGUCAGUUGUGAAAGUUUGCGGCUCAACCGUAAAAUUGCAGUUGAAACUGGCAGUCUUGAGUACAGUAGAGGUGGGCGGAAUUCGUGGUGUAGCGGUGAAAUGCUUAGAUAUCACGAAGAACUCCGAUUGCGAAGGCAGUUCACUGGACUGCAACUGACAUUGAUGCUCGAAAGUGUGGGUAUCAAACCGGAUUAGAUACCCCAGUAGUC
rnacentral:rRNA from 1 species